GGUCAAGUUAUAAAGGGCUGACGGU
rnacentral:rRNA from 1 species